rnacentral:rRNA from 1 species
GUAGGUGGCAAGCGUUGUCCGGAAUUAUUGGGCGUAAAGCGCGCGCAGGUGGUUCUUUAAGUCUGAUGUGAAAGCCCCCGGCUCAACCGGGGAGGGUCAUUGGAAACUGGGGAACUUGAGUGCAGGAGAGGAAAGUGGAAUUCCACGUGUAGCGGUGAAAUGCGUAGAUAUGUGGAGGAACACCAGUGGCGAAGGCGACUUUCUGGCCUGUAACUGACACUGAGGCGCGAAAGCGUGGGGAGCAAACAGGGAUUAGAUACCCUGGUAGUCCACGCCGUGAACGAUGAGUGCUAAGUGUUGGGGGGGUUUCCGCCCCCUCAGUGCUGCAGCUAACGCAUUAAGCACUCCGCCUGGGAUACGGUCGCAAGACUG